CAUAAGAAAAGCAAAGAACGUGCUCCUGUUGUAUCAUAUAUCGCAAAGUUGGAAUUACGUGAAGCUUUGGUAAAAAUAUUGGCCUGAUUCUCAGCUAAAAAGUACUUACAACAUCAACCGUACAAAGCAGCGCGAUGCUACGGUUACAAUUCUUCUUCGACUCUCGUGUGGUACAAGCUGGGUAAGUAUAUUUUUGCGUUAUUUUCUUAACCAUAAUCUAAUUCACUUUUAUUUUACUUACAGGUAAUCUAGGCGAUUAUUUUGGCAAUAAAUUCCAUAAAUUACACUCCUUGCUUGCUUACACGUAUUAAUAAACGAAAGAAAUAUCCAAA